rnacentral:rRNA from 1 species
UGAGGAAUAUUGGGCAAUGCCCGCAAGGGUGACCCAGCAACGCCGCGUGGAGGAAGAAUGUCGUAAGAUUGUAAACUCCUGUUAGAGGGGAAGAAUAGUACCGGUUGGACCGGUAUAUGACUGUACCCUCAGAGAAAGCCCCGGCUAACUACGUGCCAGCAGCCGCGGUAAUACGUAGGGGGCAAGCGUUGUCCGGAUUUACUGGGUGUAAAGGGCGCGCAGGCGGGAUAAAAAGUCAGUGGUGAAAUCCUACAGCUUAACUGUAGAACUGCCUUUGAUACUUUUAUUCUUGAGUGCGGGAGAGAGAGACGGAAUUCCAGGUGUAGUGGUGAAAUACGUAGAUAUCUGGAAGAACACCAGUUGCGAAGGCGGUCUCUUGGUCCGACACUGACGCUGAGGCGCGAAAGCGUGGGGAGCAAACA